GGAGGAGUCGGAUAACGGUCAUUCCAACGGUUUGCUAAACCGUAACGGCCUUUAAAAGCCGUUUGUGGGUUCGAAUCCCACCUCCUCCGCAA
rnacentral:tRNA from 1 species